AGAGUUUGAUCAUGGCUCAGGACGAACGCUGGCGGCGUGCUUAACACAUGCAAGUCGCGCGAUUCUCGAAGUUCGGGGUUGGGAGUUCGAACCUCGAACUUCGAACCUCGAACUUCGAGAAUAGCGGCGGACGGGUGAGUAACACGUGGAUAACCUACCCAUUAGACCAGGAUAACACCGGGAAACUGGUGCUAAUACCGGAUAAGCUCUUUAGAGUAAAAGCCUUAAAGAGGAAAGGGGAAACUCACUAAUGGAUGGGUCCGCGUCCUAUUAGCUAGUUGGUAGGGUAACGGCCUACCAAGGCGACGAUGGGUAGCCGGCCUGAGAGGGUGACCGGCCACACUGGGACUGAGACACGGCCCAGACUCCUACGGGAGGCAGCAGUGGGGAAUAUUCCGCAAUGGGGGAAACCCUGACGGAGCAAUGCCGCGUGAGUGAAGAAGGCCUUUGGGUCGUAAAACUCUGUCUUGAGGGACGAAAAAAAUGACGGUACCUCAAAAGAAAGCCCCGGCUAACUACGUGCCAGCAGCCGCGGUAAAACGUAGGGGGCGAGCGUUGUCCGGAAUUACUGGGCGUAAAGGGCGUGUAGGCGGCCUGUGUAGUCAAGUGGUGAAAACCCCGGGGCUUAACUUCGGGAUGGCCCUUGAAACCAACAGGCUUGAGGACAGGAGAGGGGAGUGGAAUUUCCCGGUGCAUCGGUGAAAUGCGUA
rnacentral:rRNA from 1 species